rnacentral:rRNA from 1 species
UACGAAGGGGGCUAGCGUUGUUCGGAUUUACUGGGCGUAAAGCGCGCGUAGGCGGCUUACCAAGUUGGGGGUGAAAUCCCGGAGCUCAACUCCGGAACUGCCUUCAAAACUGGUAGGCUCGAGUCCGGAAGAGGGGCGUGGAAUUCCCAGUGUAGAGGUGAAAUUCGUAGAUAUUGGGAAGAACACCGGUGGCGAAGGCGGCGCCCUGGUCCGGUACUGACGCUGAGGCGCGAAAGCGUGGGGAGCAAACAGG